GCAUAUCAAUAAGCGGAGGAAAAGAAACCAACAGGGAUUGCCCUAGUAACGGCGAGUGAAGCGGCAACAGCUCAAAUUUGAAAUCUGGCCUCACGGUCCGAGUUGUAAUUUGCAGAGGAUGCUUCUGGCGACGUGCCUUCCGAGUUCCCUGGAACGGGACGCCAUAGAGGGUGAGAGCCCCGUCCGGUCGUGCACCUAGCCUCUGUGAAGCUCCUUCGACGAGUCGAGUAGUUUGGGAAUGCUGCUCUAAAUGGGAGGUAUACGUCUUCUAAAGCUAAAUACCGGCCAGAGACCGAUAGCGCACAAGUAGAGUGAUCGAAAGAUGAAAAGCACUUUGAAAAGAGGGUUAAAUAGUACGUGAAAUUGCUGAAAGGGAAGCGCUUAUGACCAGACUUGGGCUCGGUGAAUCAUCCGGCGUUCUCGCCGGUGCACUUUGCCGUCCCAGGCCAGCAUCAGUUCGCGCCGGGGGAUAAAGGUUUCGGGAAUGUGGCCCCCUAGGGGGUGUUAUAGCCCGUUGCGCAAUACCCUGGCGUGGACUGAGGUCCGCGCUCUGCAAGGAUGCUGGCGUAAUGGUCAUCAGUGACCCGUCUUGAAACACGGACCAAGGAGUCGUCUUCGUAUGCGAGUGUUCGGGUGUCAAACCCCUACGCGUAAUGAAAGUGAACGUAGGAGAGAGCUUCGGCGCAUCUCCGACCGAUCCUGAUGUUCUCGGAUGGAUUUGAGUAAGAGCAUACGGGGCCGGACCCGAAAGAAGGUGAACUAUGCCUGUAUAGGGUGAAGCCAGAGGAAACUCUGGUGGAGGCUCGCAGCGGUUCUGACGUGCAAAUCGAUCGUCAAAUAUGGGCAUGGGGGGCGAAAGACUAAUCGAACCUUCUAGUAGCUGGGUUUCCGCCGAAG
rnacentral:rRNA from 1 species